rnacentral:rRNA from 1 species
UUGUCCUAGUGACCCGACCACUUUCCACAAUCUCCAUAAGAUAGGACUAUUAUUUAAAAGGG